AUUGAACGCUGGCGGCAGGCCUAACACAUGCAAGUCGAACGGUAACAGGAAACAGCUUGCUGUUUCGCUGACGAGUGGCGGACGGGUGAGUAAUGUCUGGGAAACUGCCUGAUGGAGGGGGAUAACUACUGGAAACGGUAGCUAAUACCGCAUAACGUCGCAAGACCAAAGAGGGGGACGUUCGGGCCCCUUGCCAUCGGAUGUGCCCAGAUGGGAUUAGCUUGUUGGUGGGGUAACGGCUCACCAAGGCGACGAGCCCUAGCUGGUCUGAGAGGAUGACCAGCCACACUGGAACUGAGACACGGUCCAGACUCCUACGGGAGGCAGCAGUGGGGAAUAUUGCACAAUGGGCGCAAGCCUGAUGCAGCCAUGCCGCGUGUAUGAAGAAGGCCUUCGGGUUGUAAAGUACUUUCAGCGGGGAGGAAGGGAGUAAAGUUAAUACCUUUACUCAUUGACGUUACCCGCAGAAGAAGCACCGGCUAACUCCGUGCCAGCCGCCGCUGUAA
rnacentral:rRNA from 1 species